UACGUAGGGUGCGAGCGUUGUCCGGAAUUAUUGGGCGUAAAGAGCUCGUAGGCGGUGUGUCGCGUCGGCCGUGAAAACCUGGGGCUCAACUCUGGGCGUGCGGUCGAUACGGGCAUCACUUGAGUUCGGCAGGGGAGACUGGAAUUCCUGGUGUAGCGGUGAAAUGCGCAGAUAUCAGGAGGAACACCGGUGGCGAAGGCGGCGACCUGGUCCGAGACUGACGCUGAGGCGCGAAAGCGUGGGGAGCAAACAGG
rnacentral:rRNA from 1 species